GGGGUAAGGCUCCCAGUAGACGACUGGGUUGAUAGGCCGGAUCUGGAAGCACGGUAACGUGUGGAGGUGACCGGUACUAAUAGGCCGAGGGCUUGUCCUC
rnacentral:ncRNA from 1 species